GGGACUUCAUCGGAUACAUUUUAACUCUGUACAGAGCUAGUAGGAGAAUGACUUACAGCAAACUGUAAUCUUCUUACUUUUUCUUCUUUUUAUUGUUAUUUUAGGUUUGCUGAACUUCCUUCCUUAUUUCACCCCUAACUGAAAGUCACUGAUCAAAAACGACUCGGGUGAGACAUGAAAGCUGUGAUACAGCUGCAGCUGAUCCUGAUAGGAGUCUGUAGUGCAGUGAAACCUUUCUGUGAUGGUAGACAAAAUGGAGCUCAAUGUUUUGGAGUGUUGGGAGGACCAGUAGACAUUGAGCUCAUGGACAACGUGUUAGAAAUACCCAGAUUCCACUGGAAAAAGAGCAACUCUGUGAUACUCAUUUGGAGGUAUACCGUAGUUUUUCCUCCAAAGGACGACAGAAUUCGAUUUUUCCGAAGUAAUGGAUCAGUCAGGAUCAAUGACCUGACAAUGACUGACAGUGGUGAAUAUAAACUUGAAAUGUUUGAUGAAAAUGGAAAAAAAACUGGAUGGAGAACUCUGCAACUAUUUG